UAGGGAAUCUUCGGCAAUGGACGGAAGUCUGACCGAGCAACGCCGCGUGAGUGAAGAAGGUUUUCGGAUCGUAAAGCUCUGUUGUAAGAGAAGAACGAGUGUGAGAGUGGAAAGUUCACACUGUGACGGUAUCUUACCAGAAAGGGACGGCUAACUACGUGCCAGCAGCCGCGGUAAUGCGUAGGUCCCGAGCGUUGUCCGGAUUUAUUGGGCGUAAAGCGAGCGCAGGCGGUUAGAUAAGUCUGAAGUUAAAGGCUGUGGCUUAACCAUAGUACGCUUUGGAAACUGUUUAACUUGAGUGCAAGAGGGGAGAGUGGAAUUCCAUGUGUAGCGGUGAAAUGCGUAGAUAUAUGGAGGAACACCGGUGGCGAAAGCGGCUCUCUGGCUUGUAACUGACGCUGAGGCUCGAAAGCGUGGGGAGCAAACAGGAUUAGAUACCCUGGUAGUCCACGCCGUAAACGAUGAGUGCUAGGUGUUAGACCCUUUCCGGGGUUUAGUGCCGCAGCUAACGCAUUAAGCACUCCGCCUGGGGAGUACGACCGCAAGGUU
rnacentral:rRNA from 1 species